rnacentral:rRNA from 1 species
ACGGAAGGCAGCAGUGGGGAAUAUUGCACAAUGGGGGGAACCCUGAUGCAGCGACGCCGCGUGAGUGAAGAAGUAUUUCGGUAUGUAAAGCUCUAUCAGCAGGGAAGAAAAUGACGGUACCUGACUAAGAAGCCCCGGCUAACUACGUGCCAGCAGCCGCGGUAAUACGUAGGGGGCAAGCGUUAUCCGGAUUUACUGGGUGUAAAGGGAGCGUAGACGGUUCUGCAAGUCUGAUGUGAAAGGCAGGGGCUCAACUCCUGGACUGCAUUGGAAACUGUAGAACUAGAGUGCCGGAGAGGUAAGCGGAAUUCCUAGUGUAGCGGUGAAAUGCGUAGAUAUUAGGAGGAACACCAGUGGCGAAGGCGGCUUACUGGACGGUAACUGACGUUGAGGCUCGAAAGCGUGGGGAGCAAACAGGAUUAGAUACCCUGGUA